rnacentral:lncRNA from 1 species
AAUUGAAGAACAAUUGAUAUAAUAAUCUUUUCAACGCUGGUUUAAGACGUAAAGAUGAGCCACUAGCUAGAUAUGUAAACAUGAUAUCGAUCAUACAUAGAUGAUGUUGGUCAUAAUAAUUAAAAUUUUGAUUGAGUCGCUAGAGGACUAUUUUAUUGAGACUGCGUCCCAAGCGGGUGGAUACAGGGAACGACAAUAUUAGUGCCCCAAACAAAAACUAGCUUCACUAGAGAUUCAGGAAUAAACACAACAACAUAUUUUCGUAUCGCCUGGUCCAGUCCUGCAGUAGGCCCCGAGCCAGCGGUUGCCACUGUGUCCGCAUAAGUUUUUGCAGACAUUUGAAUUGUAGACUUGAAUAGGCAAGCACUCUUCAUGAAGAUCAACUAAACAUUGAGGAAAUGUAAUGAUAUUAAUUACAAAUGUUUGGUAAGGUCUAUUUUAGCAAAAAUAAUGAAUUCGGUAAGAAAACAAUGAUUAAAGGAUGUUUGGAGAUACGCACGUUCAUAGCAAGAGGUUGGUAAGAUCAAAGUGCAAAACAUGAUCAAAACAAUAAUG